AAAGAUAAGGGAGACGUUGAAAUGCGCCUUGUAUCUGGGCACCUUAGGCGUAUGGAGUCAGUGGUGCAACCGCCCCGACGAUAU
rnacentral:ncRNA from 2 species